GAUGAAGAACGUAGCAAAAUGCGAUACUUGGUGUGAAUUGCAGAAUCCCGUGAACCAUCGAGUUUUUGAACGCAAGUUGCGCCCGAAGCCUUUUGGCCGAGGGCACGUCUGCCUGGGCGUCACGCAUCGCGUCGCCCCCCACAAUUCUCCGUAAAGGGAACAUGUGUUUUGGGGGCGGAUAUUGGUCUCCCGUGCUCAUGGCGUGGUUGGCCGAAAUAGGAGUCCUUUCGAUGAACGCACGAACUAGUGGUGGUCGUAAAAACCCUCGUCUUUUGUUUCGUGCUGUUGCUCGCAAGGUAAACUCUUUAAAAACCCCAAUGUGUCGUCUCUUGACGACGCUUCGACCGCGACCCCAGGUCAGGCGGGACUACCCGCUGAGUUUAAGCAUAUCCAAUAAGCGGAGGA
rnacentral:misc_RNA from 1 species